rfam:Lupinus angustifolius cultivar Tanjil contig_3564, whole genome shotgun sequence.
UGGCCAAGGAUGAGAUCAGAUAACAUAUAAACCAUCUUUCGGGACUGAAUGGCAUUUUUAAUGCCUUGCUGUUAUUUCUGCAUUUCUGAGGCUU